CAGUCGCCGCGGGAAUACGUAGGGUGCAAGCGUUAAUCGGAAUUACUGGGCGUAAAGCGUGCGCAGGCGGUUAUAUAAGACAGAUGUGAAAUCCCCGGGCUCAACUUGGGAACUGCAUUUGUGACUGUAUAGCUAGAGUACGGCAGAGGGGGAUGGAAUUCCGCGUGUAGCAGUGAAAUGCGUAGAUAUGCGGAGGAACACCGAUGGCGAAGGCAAUCCCCUGGGCCUGUACUGACGCUCAUGCACGAAAGCGUGGGGAGCAAACAGGAUUAGAUACCCGUGUAGUCCCUGUCUCUUAUAC
rnacentral:rRNA from 1 species